rnacentral:rRNA from 1 species
UACAGAGGUCUCAAGCGUUGUUCGGAUUCACUGGGCGUAAAGGGUGCGUAGGCGGGUCUUUAAGUCAGGGGUGAAAUCCUGGAGCUCAACUCCAGAACUGCCUUUGAUACUGAAGAUCUUGAGUUCGGGAGAGGUGAGUGGAACUGCGAGUGUAGAGGUGAAAUUCGUAGAUAUUCGCAAGAACACCAGUGGCGAAGGCGGCUGACUGGUCCGGUUCUGACGCUGAGGCGCGAAAGCGUGGGGAGCAAACAGG